rnacentral:rRNA from 1 species
CUACGGGUCGCACCAGUGGGGAAUCUUGCGCAAUGGGCGAAAGCCUGACGCAGCAACGCCGCGUGCGGGAUGAAGGCCUUCGGGCUGUAAACCGCUUUCAGCAGGAACGAAAAUGACGGUACCUGCAGAAGAAGGAGCGGCCAACUACGUGCCAGCAGCCGCGGUGACACGUAGGCUCCAAGCGUUGUCCGGAUUUAUUGGGCGUAAAGAGCUCGUAGGCGGUUGAGUAAGUCGGGUGUGAAAACUCUGGGCUUAACCCGGAGACGCCAUCCGAUACUGCUCUGACUAGAGUUCAGGAGGGGAGUGGGGAAUUCCUAGUGUAGCGGUGAAAUGCGCAGAUAUUAGGAGGAACACCGGUGGCGAAGGCGCCACUCUGGACUGAAACUGACGCUGAGGAGCGAAAGCAUGGGUAGCAAACAGGAUUAGAUACCCCCGUAGUC